rnacentral:rRNA from 1 species
UAAGCCAUGCAUGUCUCAGUACAAGCCAAAUUAAGGUGAAACCGCGAAAGGCUCAUUAAAUCAGUUAUGGUUCCUUAGAUCGUACCCACAAUUACUUGGAUAACUGUGGUAAUUCUAGAGCUAAUACAUGCAAACAGAGCUCCGACCGGAGACGGAAGGAGUGCUUUUAUUAGAUCAAAACCAAUCGGUGGCGGGUUCGCUCGUUAUCGUACAACUUGGUGACUCUGAAUAACUUUACGCUGAUCGCACGGUCAUCGCACCGGCGACGCAUCUUUCAAAUGUCUGCCUUAUCAACUGUCGAUGGUAGGUUCUGCGCCUACCAUGGUUGUAACGGGUAACGGGGAAUCAGGGUUCGAUUCCGGAGAGGGAGCCUGAGAAACGGCUACCACAUCCAAGGAAGGCAGCAGGCGCGCAAAUUACCCACUCCCGGCACGGGGAGGUAGUGACGAAAAAUAACGAUACGGGACUCAUCCGAGGCCCCGUAAUCGGAAUGAGUACACUCUAAACCCUUUAACGAGGAUCAAUUGGAGGGCAAGUCUGGUGCCAGCA